UUUUCCUCAUUAGUACUCGAGGAGAUCUUCCUCCCGACUUCAUGGACUCUUCCACGACUUCUUUCUUUUCUCCUUGAUCUCUCUCUCUCUCUCUUUGCCAAUGAAAAACAAAUACAUAGCCUUUUUCAAGCUGAACAAGGUAAGUUGGUGAAUUGAUUCGGUGUGCUGAAGGGCGUUAUAUCAGAUCAAAAAAUUCCUCAUCCGUAUCAGGUUUGUUUUCUUGCCGGUAUAUAUUUCAAUCUGCGGAUACUUUUUCUUUUAGUUCGGGUCUCUCCCUAGAAAUCUCUUCUUCAAUCCUGUCUCAAGUUCAUGACGCUGUCAGACUACCAUCAAAAUUUGUUAUAGAUGUGAGCGGUUGGCCCCGUGAGCAGCGGACCCUUCUCGGUUCUCUCUCCCAGACAAGUUAACUCUAGAAGAGGUUAUAAAGUUUUAGUCCAUCCGAUUGAUCUAUGCCAUUGAGGGAAACGUGGUUGCCAAUCCCUCCAAAAGAAAAUAUAUCUUCCUGAAAAAAUAUCUAAUAACCUCCUUCUCCAUGAUCUGCCAUGGAGUUUUAAAAAAAGGUUGACGUUCUAUCAAGGAGAAUAUUCUAUCCGGCAGCCGUGCAAGCUCAGAAUUCUGUCCCUAAUAGAUUUCUGUAUGUACGUGGCCUAUACACAUGCCUCGGCAGCCGUGCAAGCUGAGAAUUCUGUCCCUAAUAGAUUUGUGCAUGUACGUGGCCUCUACACAUGCCUCCAUUUGCUCCUCAGCUACAGCGGCCGGCGGCCAAUGUCUUGCCAAUUAGGUUUGUGUUUUGCUCAAUCAGUAUUUACUAAUUGUGUUGCGUAGUCUCAGCCUCCUUCCACGGUACAUAAUCCCUUGGUCCUCUACGAAUUGAUUUUUUCAAGCAACUACUAACGUGCUCAUGGUUUGAUCCGAUCAUAUACGUACUGAGCAGUUUAUUUACUAG
rnacentral:lncRNA from 1 species